ACACACCGAUAUCGCAGCUCCGUGUCGCGAAACCUACCCUACCGCCUCACGGUCGCCAAGUCAUGCGACUGCCGCGACGCCUCGCCCCCACCGCCUCCCUCCGCUGGCAACAAAUGUUGCCUAUGCCGGUUCCGCAACAACAACCUCCCACUCUAAUCAUUUUUGGAUCAGACUGCCUCUCCGCCAUCGAGCAUCAGCACGGUGAGUCCUCUGUCCGCCUCCCCCUGAUUGUUUUCCCACCUCCCCAUCUUUUUUGGCGUAGACUACCUCUCCGCCAUCGAGCAUCGAGUAUCAGGAUGGUGAGUCCACCACCUGCCUCCCCUUGAUCGUUGUUUUUGGCUCUAGCAAGCAGCUCGCCCUCUGAGGUCCUCAAUCAAACACUUGGUGGUCGACCGCUACUGUCCGUGCACAGGCUGUUCCGGCGCGUCGCGUGACAGAGUGACCACGAUGGGGCUCGUGAUUUCUACAUUGUGAACUAAUUCUUCAAUCCCGCUAGCUUUUAGUUGCAGAAAUUUAUGGAUACAAAAAAACAUCCUCUACAGCCUUGUACAUUUGGUUUUCUAUGCAUAUUUCUUCUUAAGGUUUGUAGCAUAGCCUACUAAUUGAUUGGAGCAGUUUCAGAAGCUUCUUUUAGGUAUAUAUUCUUAGCCUUUUUUGAGAAAAGUACCAUAGCCUAUUAAUAGUUGUUUAUCACUAUUUUCUUUUGUUCCAACUUUCCUUGAUAUGCCAUAUCUCCCUCCUAAUGCAUGUGGUCGCCUAGAUCUUGUUUCUUUCUUCGUUCCAUCUCAUUUUUCAUUAGUGAUUAGAACUACAAUCAUCAAAUGAUGGAUUUGACUAGACUUGUUCUACUUGUACUUUUCUGUGUGUAUUGCAGAACAUGGAGGUGCGGUUGAGAGGAGCUUGCAGAAUCUGUCAAGCGGUAGGGACCGAUGGAUGGGCUGGAGGCGCUAGCUGACAGCUUGUGUGUGCUAUAUAGUCGUCCGUUA
rnacentral:lncRNA from 1 species